UAGCCUCGGGAAACCGAGGUUAAUACCGGAUACUCCAUAUUUGUCGCAUGGCGAAUAUGGGAAAGCUCCGGCGGCAAAGGAUGGGCCCGCGGCCUGUUAGCUAGUUGGUGGGGUAGUGGCUCCAAGGCAAUGAUGGGUAGCCGGGUUGAGAGACCGACCGGCCAGAUUGGACUGAGACACGGCCCAGACUCCUACGGGAGGCAGCAGUGGGGAAUCUUGCACAAUGGGCGAAAGCCUGAUGCAGCGACGCCGCGUGCGGGAUGAAGGCCUUCGGGUUGUAAACCGCUUUCAGCAGGGACGAGGCCGCAAGGUGACGGUACCUGCAGAAGAAGCCCCGGCUAACUACGUGCCAGCAGCCGCGGUAAAU
rnacentral:rRNA from 1 species